rnacentral:misc_RNA from 1 species
CUGCAGUGCAGCCGUGAUCACUUGCGUCGCCGUUGCUGUCUCUAUUUUAUUCGUUGCUCUCUCUCUCUCUCCCUCCACUCCUCUUCGCUAGCAACGCAGCGAUGCCGAAGGAGCCGCGGGCGGUGCCAAUGGGCAUCAUCAGUGCCGAGCCCAUCCACGCUGCAUCCCGCAAGAUCAAGUUCGGCACGAAGACCAUCACGUUAGGCAAGUCAACCCCACAAGGACACAGACGCGGCACAGCAGCUGAGGGUCUCAAGGAGAAGAGGGCAAGCUCUGGUGUCAAGACUGGCGGCAGCCAGUCCGGUAUCGUCUUCAACAAAGGCUUCGGCCAGCACAUUCUCAAGAACCCGCUUGUCAUCGCCGCCAUCGUCGAAAAGGCCGCCAUCAAGCCCACCGACAUCGUCAUCGAGAUCGGCCCCGGCACGGGCAACUUGACAGAGAAACUGCUGCAGACGGCGAAGAAGGUGAUCGCCUUCGAGAUUGACCCGCGCAUGGUGGCGGAGUUGAACAAGCGCUUCCAGAACACGCCGUUGGCCUCGAAGCUGCAGAUUAUCCGCGGCAACUGCCUUGAGCAGGACUUCCCAUACUUCGACAAGUGUGUGGCCAACGUGCCGUAUGCAAUUUCGUCGGCGCUGGUGUUCAAGCUGCUCAAGACACCCACAUUCAAAUGUGCCGUACUCAUGUUUCAGCGUGAGUUCGCCCUGCGCGUCUGCGCACAGCCCGGAUCGGAGGCCUACUGUCGACUCUCUGUGAACUCGCAGCUGCUCGCCCGCUGCAGCCACCUCAUGAAGAUCAGCAAGAACAGCUUCAACCCUCCGCCGAAGGUCGAGUCGAGCGUCAUUCGGCUCGACCCCAAGCACCCACAACCUGAUGUGGAUUUCGAGGAGUGGGACGGGCUCGUGAAGAUGCUCUUCAGCCGCAAGAACAAGAAGUCCUCGUCGAUAUUUCGUACCAAGGCGGCUGUGCAGGCUCUGUACGACAAGUACGUGAGCUAUCGAAAGAUGGAGGGCGGUCAGCCCGUCGGAACCGCCACGUCCGGCGCAAAGCCCUUGACGUCCAGUAGCAGUGCGGAUGUGGGCUCUUCCGUGUCGCUCGAGCAGUUCCGCGUGUUGCUGGACUCGGUGAUUGCGGACCCCAUGUUCGAAAAGCGCAGUCGCAUGCUUGACGAGGAGGCAUUGAUGACUAUGCUUGCCCACUUCAUCAAGCACGGCAUUCACUUCAUCUAAGCGCCUGCGUGCCUGUGGGUGUAUGUGUGUUUGAUGUCUGUGCCGCUGUGGAGCUGCAUUCGCACUCACCAACUUCUGUAUCCCCCCUACACACACGCAUGCAUGCAUGCAUGCGUCGCACCUCUACGCUGCCGUAACAGGCCCCUGCGGAAGGGGCGGGGAGAGAGCGAGGGAGAGAGGUGCACGCUGAACAGAUUUGAUGUGAGUGAAGGACACACAUCCUCACAGAGAGAAGGAUGGAUGGUGCAACCAUCAUCCGUAAUCCGACCUCAUCGUGUCGAGCGAUAU